UACGAAGGGGGCGAGCGUUGUUCGGAAUUACUGGGCGUAAAGGGCGCGCAGGCGGCUCUGAAAGUCAGAUGUGAAAGCCCCGGGCUUAACCUGGGAAUUGCAUUUGAUACUCUGGAGCUUGAGUACGGGAGAGGAGAGUGGAAUUCCCAGUGUGGAGGUGAAAUUCGUAGAUAUUGGGAAGAACACCGGUGGCGAAGGCGGCUCUCUGGACCGUAACUGACGCUGAGGCGCGAAAGCGUGGGGGAGCAAACAGG
rnacentral:rRNA from 1 species